UACGUAGGGCGCAAGCGUUGUCCGGAAUUAUUGGGCGUAAAGAGCUCGUAGGCGGUCUGUCGCGUCGGCUGUGAAAACCCGAGGCUCAACCUCGGGCCUGCAGUCGAUACGGGCAGACUAGAGUGCUGUAGGGGAGACUGGAAUUCCUGGUGUAGCGGUGAAAUGCGUAGAGAUCAGGAGGAACACCGGUGGCGAAGGCGGCCCACUGGGCCGAGCACUGA
rnacentral:rRNA from 1 species